rnacentral:rRNA from 1 species
UACGAAGGGGGGCUAGCGUUGCUCGGAUUGACUGGGCGUAAAGGGCGCGUAGGCGGUUCGUACAGUCAGACGUGAAAUUCCUGGGCUCAACCUGGGGGCUGCGUUUGAUACGUGCGGACUUGAGUGCGGAAGAGGGGUCGUGGAAUUCCCAGUGUAGAAGUGAAAUUCGUAGAUAUUGGGAAGAACACCGGUGGCGAAGGCGGCGACCUGGUCCGAUACUGACGCUGAGGCGCGAAAGCGUGGGGAGCAAACAGGAUUAGAACCGUACCGUUCGAGUCCAAG